CGGGUGUGGCAAAGUUUGGCAUCGCGCUUGGUUCGGGACCAAGAAAUCGCAGGUUCAAAUCCUGUCACUCCGACCA
rnacentral:tRNA from 1 species